rnacentral:rRNA from 1 species
UACGAAGGGUGCAAGCGUUACUCGGAAUUACUGGGCGUAAAGCGUGCGUAGGUGGUUUGUUAAGUCUGAUGUGAAAGCCCUGGGCUCAACCUGGGAACGGCAUUGGAAACUGGCUUACUAGAGUGCGGUAGAGGGGUGUGGAAUUCCCGGUGUAGUGGUGAAAUGCGUAGAGUAUCGGGAGGAACAUCAGUGGCGAAGGC